UCGGGGUACUCGAGCGGCGAACGGGUGAGUAACACGUGAGCAACCUGCCCUAGGCUUUGGGAUAACCCUCGGAAACGGGGGCUAAUACCGGAUACAACCUUUGGUCGCAUGACUGGGGGUGGAAAGUUUUUCGGCCUGGGAUGGGCUCGCGGCCUAUCAGCUUGUUGGUGGGGUGAUGGCCUACCAAGGCGACGACGGGUAGCCGGCCUGAGAGGGCGACCGGCCACACUGGGACUGAGACACGGCCCAGACUCCUACGGGAGGCAGCAGUGGGGAAUAUUGCACAAUGGGCGGAAGCCUGAUGCAGCGACGCCGCGUGAGGGAUGACGGCCUUCGGGUUGUAAACCUCUUUCAGCAGGGACGAAGCGCAAGUGACGGUACCUGCAGAAGAAGCGCCGGCCAACUACGUGCCAGCAGCCGCGGUAAGACGUAGGGCGCGAGCGUUGUCCGGAUUUAUUGGGCGUAAAGAGCUCGUAGGCGGCUUGUCGCGUCGACCGUGAAAACUUGGGGCUCAACCCCAAGCCUGCGGUCGAUACGGGCAGGCUAGAGUUCGGUAGGGGAGACUGGAAUUCCUGGUGUAGCGGUGAAAUGCGCAGAUAUCAGGAGGAACACCGGUGGCGAAGGCGGGUCUCUGGGCCGAUACUGACGCUGAGGAGCGAAAGCGUGGGGAGCGAACAGGAUUAGAUACCCUGGUAGUCCACGCUGUAAACGUUGGGC
rnacentral:rRNA from 1 species